rnacentral:rRNA from 1 species
UACACUCCUGCGGGAGGCAGCAGUGGGGAAUAUUGGACAAUGGGCGCAAGCCUGAUCCAGCCAUGCCGCGUGAGUGAUGAAGGCCCUAGGGUUGUAAAGCUCUUUCACCGGAGAAGAUAAUGACGGUAUCCGGAGAAGAAGCCCCGGCUAACUUCGUGCCAGCAGCCGCGGUAAUACGAAGGGGGCUAGCGUUGUUCGGAAUUACUGGGCGUAAAGCGCACGUAGGCGGAUCGAUCAGUCAGGGGUGAAAUCCCAGGGCUCAACCCUGGAACUGCCUUUGAUACUGUCGAUCUGGAGUAUGGAAGAGGUGAGUGGAAUUCCGAGUGUAGAGGUGAAAUUCGUAGAUAUUCGGAGGAACACCAGUGGCGAAGGCGGCUCACUGGUCCAUUACUGACGCUGAGGUGCGAAAGCGUGGGGAGCAAACAGGAUUAGAAACCCUUGUAGUCCCAUG